UUUUUUUUUAUUUUUUCUAAGAUGCAGCACAAGAGGGAAUUCCCCCCCCCUUUUUUUGUGGAAGAACCAGGCUUAAAAUUGACUUUUUCCCCCUAUUUUGGUGGAAAGAUCUAUUUAAAAUUUUAUUUCCCCCCAUUUUAUGUGGAAUUCACUGAAUUCCAAGUGUCCCGAGGCUGUCAUUGGGACUUAAGGAUGUGAAAGGCCUUUUCCAAUGUAAACAAUUCCAUGCUUUAGGCAGCUGAAAAAAAGAGAAGAAUUUAAAACACAAAGGAGAAAAGAGCUGAGGGAAUUAAUAAAAAUUUCUAUAAUCUGUGGGGGUUUUGAGUCUUGAGGCAGAACUUGAUUCCCUGAAGCUGUCGGAUUUGUUUUUCCUUAGGAAUGACGUGGAAAACACAACGGGAACAGGCACGAGAAGAGUCCCCAGAAGUUAUUUAUGAGCAGCCUGGAAAGCAAAAUAUUUUCAGAUUAAAAAGGAAAACGGCAUCCACUGCUCUCCCUGAGGUGUGUCCUUGCAGCAGGGAUUUGUCAGGAGCCUGCACUGAGCCGUCUCUGCGCGGCUCAUGGAGAACCAGGAUGGUUUUCCCCUACAUCCACGGGGAAUUUUGGCACAAAAGAAUUUCUUCCUGAUAAAGUAUCUCAGGAGCCAAGAAGUGACAGAAGAUUUCCAGGACCCAUCUCAGGCCGUGUCAUUUGAGAGGAGUUGGACCCGAUGCCAAACUCUGUGGUUACAACUGGAGGAGAUCCCAGCAUGAGCAGCUCAGCUUUUUGCUACAAAAGUGCAAAGCAAGGAAGUUUUCCUUUGAAAAUUCUCCAUGGGAACCUCUUUGUUAUGGAGAUACCUUUCAAGAGGAAAAGAGUCCUCAGCUCUCCAUCCUCCCCUGGAGCUGCGAGGGAACAGCCAGGGCAGCUCCUCAAAUGAGAACUGGGACAAAAGGAUCCCUUCCCAAGCCUUUCUUCCACAUCCAGAAAUUCCCUGUGAAAUCCCUGUGAAAUCCAGAAAUAAUGGGGAAGGAGAAACCCCUGCAAUCCAGAAAUGCUGGCUGAAAGGAAGGGAAAGGACAGGAAGAAGCGUGAUACACCCUCAUUCCAAAUGGGGUGAAAAAUAUUAAUUAU